UAGAGAAUGAGGACUGGGACUUUUAGUCAGUCCACAUCUAGAAUUCUCCAAAAUCGAGAUAUACCUUUCUGUACCCUAGAAAACCAUGCUGUGUUCCAGUUUACUUUGAAUGUUUCAGUGAAAAUGAUGAAGCUGAAAAAAUGACGGAGGCCCGUUUUACAUUGCAUUUCUCAGAGUCAUCGCCUCUGCUGCAGAUGGAACAACAGCCAUGGAGAAUGAGGGUCACCUGAAUGUGGAAAAGUUGAGUUGGAGCAAAACUGGCACGGCCAUACUGGAUGGACCUCAGCAUGACCAGGACACAUUUCAGCUCAAAUCCCCUGUGCCAAGAACACAUUCUGCCAAGGACCACCACCUCUUCCCACAACUGUGAGUGGAUUUAUGUCAUCACAGGAGGUGCAAAAACGUGUGGUGAGGUAAAUGAAUUGGGAUGUCCUUGGCUGCCUGAGCAAGAGGGCAACUUUCCUGCCUUUAGAAUAGAGAAAACACAGCAGGAUAAUUAAGAGGAUGAGACUUUGGUUCCAACAGACAGUGGCUUCUCCUUCCCUAAAUUGCCCUUAUUUUGUAGUAAGUUAUAAUAUGUUUAUUUUCUACCACCUUAUUACUUCACUACGUGAACCAAAAAUAAAAUCCUA
rnacentral:lncRNA from 10 species